rnacentral:tRNA from 1 species
GGGGGUACAGCUCAGUGGUAGAGUGCGUGCUCAGCAUUCAUGAGGUCCAGGGCUCAAUCCCAGUAUCUCCA